rnacentral:rRNA from 1 species
UACGUAGGUGGCAAGCGUUGUCCGGAUUUACUGGGCGUAAAGGGCGCGUAGGCGGCAAUUCAAGUCAUCUGUGAAAUCUCCGGGCUUAACCCGGAACGGUCAGAUGAUACUGCUUUGCUAGAGUGCGGAAGGGGCAAUCGGAAUUCUUGGUGUAGCGGUGAAAUGCGUAGAUAUCAAGAGGAACACCUGAGGUGAAGACGGGUUGCUGGGCCGACACUGACGCUGAUAGCGCGAAAGCCAGGGGAGCAAACGGG